rnacentral:rRNA from 1 species
UACGUAGGCAGCGAGCGUUGUUCGGAAUUACUGGGCGUAAAGAGUGUGUAGGCGGUGCUCUAAGUUCGGUGUGAAAUCUCCUGGCUCAACUGGGAGGGUGCGCCGGAAACUGGAGUGCUUGAGCGUGGGAGAGGAAAGCGGAAUUCCUGGUGUAGCGGUGAAAUGCGUAGAUAUCAGGGGGAACACCUGUGGUGUAGACGGCUUUCUGGACCAUAGCUGACGCUGAGACACGAAAGCGUGGGUAGCAAACAGG